UACGGGGGGGGUAAGCGUUGUUCGGAAUUACUGGGCGUAAAGGGCUCGUAGGCGGCCAACUAAGUCAGACGUGAAAUCCCUCAGCUUAACUGGGGAACUGCGUCUGAUACUGGAUGGCUUGGAUUCGGGAGAGGAAUGCGGAAUUCCAGGUGUAGCGGUGAAAUGCGUAGAUAUCUGGAGGAACACCGGUGGCGAAGGCGGCAUUCUGGACCGACAUUGACGCUGAGGAGCGAAAGCGUGGGGAGCGAACAGG
rnacentral:rRNA from 1 species